CCACACCCAGCCUACCUCUCCUGCCUCGCCCCCUGCUGCCCGCCACCCCUACCACACCCAGCCUCCUGCUCGGGCUCCUUCAGCUCCCCCAACCACUACUGCUACACCCCCUGCUGCCCCUCCCCUUGCCAUGCCCCCCCUCCAUGGGAUGCCACUCAUGCCUUCCAUGCCAGGCCUACCUCUGAUGCCAGGUGUGAUGCCAGGUUCUCCAGAACAGACAGGGAUGGCUCAGCAGCAACAGACCAUCAUCAACCAGCAAGCCAUCAUACUGGCCCAGCAGAUGACCAUGCAGGCCAUGGCUUUCCAGCAGCAGAUGUUGUCUUCCUUCCCCCUCGCCCCC